GUUUCUAAAGAGAAGUCUGAUGUAGUUGUCAUCUUUUCUACUCCAUGGGUAUGACAUUGAAGGAGCAUGAUCCAGGAAUUGUCCUACCAUGACUUGAUAAAAGAGCGAGAUGCUCUCAACCUGCACUUGGAGUACAACAGGAACAACUAUGAGGAUCUCAAGUGUCACCAGUCCCAACUGAAGGGGAAGCUUCUGGUCCUCGUGGUGGAAAAGGUGGCCUUGCAGCUCCUUAUGAAAAAGCUCGAGACAUCCAAGCUCCUGCCACAACAAACCAAUUAGAACAUGGAGGUCACCAGUGCACUGCAGUUGAGGCACCAUGUGAAGAUGGAGCUGGCUGAGAAGUUGG